CGAGCGACAGACGGUGAAACGGACUCUGCCCACGGCUCCGCAGGUGGCUUGGGUUUUCUCCGCCGGAAGGGGAAGGGCCGAUCGAAGCCGCGCAGGCGCAGAGGAGAAAUCAACCCCCGCCCCCGCCUCCGGUCGGCGGAUGGCCGCCGGCGACGCAGCGACGGUCUUCCUGGAGACGACCCUCGGCACCCGCCUCGUCGUCUCCUUCCCCGCCGGCGCCACCACCGUCGCCGACCUCAAGGGCCGAGUGAGUGCGGAGCACGCGGCCUGUUUCCCCCGCACCGGGCCAAUCGCCGUCACAUCCUUGCAGGUUAAGCUCGAUGACUCCUGGUUUCAGCUCACCGAUUCCAUGGCUGUGCGAGCUGCUUUCGAGUGGGUCAAGGGGCCCUGGCGCCUCCUGGCUGAGGCUCAUGAGCUUCACUCUCAUCCGCUUGCUCGCAAGGAUGCAAAGUGUGGAACUAGUGAUGCUGAACCAAGUGCCGGCCGUCCUGUCAUCUCCGAGAACUCCACACACUACUUGUUGCCUCCUGCAGGGUCUCAGGGAGGUGGGAGUCUUGCCUCUGGUGAUGGCGUCAGUGACACCCCACAGAUAAAUCAGCAGGAUAAACCUCAGGAAGGUGAUGAGCAUGCCUCGGGUCAGGGCAAAGAUGGAACUACCAUGCCACAGAAAAGUUCAGAUCUUUAUUUAGCUCCAGGCGACAGUGACACCCUGCUGCUGGACCAGGAGGACAAACCUCAGGAAUGUGUUGAGCAUGCCUCUGGUCAGGUCGAGGAUGGAAUUACCAUGCCUCAAGAAAGUUCAGAUAUUGAUAUGGCCGCAGGCGACAGUGGCACCUCACUGGCAAACCAGGAGGACAAACCUCAGGAAUGUGCUGAGCAUGCCUCUGGUCAGCUGGAGGAUGGAAUUACCAUGCCUCAAGAAAGUUCAGAUAUUGAUUUGGCCGCAGGCGACAGUGGCACCCCAUUGGCAAACCAGGAGGAAAAACUUCAGGAAUGUGCUGAGCAUGCCUCUGGUCAGCUCGAGGAUGGAAUUACCAUGCCUCAAGAAAUUUCAGAUAUUGAUUUGGCCGCAGGCGACAGUACUGAGCAUGCCUCUGGUCAGCUCGAAGAUGGAAUUACCAUGCCUCAAGAAAGUUCAGAUAGUGAUUUAGCCGCAGGCGACAGUACUGAGCAUGCCUCUGGUCAGCUCGAAGAUGAAAUCAUCAUGCCUCAAAAAACUUCAGAUUUUGACUUAUUAGCAGGCGCCAAUGAUGGCCCACCAAUGAACCAGCAGGACAAAUCUCAUGAUGGUGUUGAGCAUGCCUCUGUUCAGAGUGAAGAUAAGCCUACCAUGCUUCAAGAAAGUUCAGACUUUGGUGCAGCAGCAUGCAGAGGGAAUGGUCCUGUUGGGGGUCAACAAAAGGACAUCAUCGCAGAACCAAGAGGGAAGAAACGUUUUAGGGAGGAAGAUAAAACCAAUGAAAGCAUCAUUGUAAACUGUGGUGAUGAUCUUUCCUCUCUUGCUAGCUCCACUUGUAAUGCUGAAUCGUCUGAGAAAAAGAGCUGUGUGACUGAGCAAGCAAAAUUGAACAGUGUCCCCCUGCCAUAUGAUUUGAAAGACCAUUCACAUGAUUUGGGGGAAAAUCCCUCUGGUGGCCAGAAGGAGACCUCGACAUCUGGUGUGCAUAAUGUUGAAAGCAGCAACAAUGAAGCAGAUAUCCCACUUGGUGUUGAGUCCAUGGAAAGAGGAAAGUCUUCAGACAGAGAAGUGCAGAUAAAGAGAGGUGACGAGGAACCACAGAUAGCUGGAUGUGCUGGUGAAAGCAGCUGCAGAAGAACAGAUGAUCUACAUUGUGUUAAGUCCAUGAAAGAAGACAUCAAGAGGCCAGCUUCCAAUAGCCGUUAUCUCGACAAAGGGAAAAAUGAAGGGGCCAUAUCAAAUCUUAGCAAAGAACGGAUUUGUUUCAGAAGAAGACACAAGCGGAUUGUUGUGCGCAAAGUGCCUAUAAGCAAGGCAAUGAAGAUAUAUUAUUUCAGGGGAUGAAGCAAGAUUCGAUCAAAGUUCUCUGAAGGACUAGCAUGGUCAGAGCCUCCUGCCGUAGCGACAAGCCCUGUUGAUGAGGGCGAGGGCGACUGGUGCCAUUAUGUUCCACCAAUACACCACCACCACCAUUACUGAUCUGCUGCCCUAAUAAAUGUGUGUUAAUAUUAUCUCACCUGGAUGAUUUUGCACAAGAACAUGUUGCUGAGAAAGCCGAGGACAAUUGAGAGAAAAUGGCAAAUGCUUUGAGUACAACCAUGCAUCUGAACCAAUGCAUUUGUGAGCGUUUCAUCAAGUAACAGUUGGAACCUGAGUUGUACCCCAGUUGUAUUCAAAUGGUUGUACGUGUAGCAUGGUCACCAAUAAACUCAAUAGCAUGUGCCCCUCUAAACUCAUGAUCCAAUGGUGUAGUUCCUGAGGUUAUCUAAGGUAUAAUUUCAAUUUCUGAUGAACUUCAUACUAUGGUCAUUCAAGACCAUGGUAUAAGAUGCUCACUUGCUCAUCAUGGCUGACUUAUCGAGCUUGAUGCAACUUAAAACAAUCUAUAUUUAGCUGGAAUGUACUCAUCGGCUUAUUGCUGUA